rnacentral:rRNA from 1 species
AGUGGGGAAUAUUGGGCAGUGGGGGAAACCCUGACGCAGCAACGCCGCGUGAGUGAAGAAGGCCCUUGGGUCGUAAAGCUCUGUCAACUGGGAAGAAGUUGUUAUUGUUUAAUAAAUGAUAGCAUUGACGGUACCAGUGGAGGAAGCGCCGGCUAACUCCGUGCCAGCAGCCGCGGUAACACGGGGGGCGCAAGCGUUAUUCGGAAUUAUUGGGCGUAAAGGGCGCGUAGGCGGUUCUGUCGGUCAGAUGUGAAAGCCCGGGGCUCAACCCUGGAAGUGCAUUUGAAACAGCAGAACUUGAGUACGGGAGAGGAAAGCGGAAUUCCUGGUGUAGAGGUGAAAUUCGUAGAUAUCAGGAGGAACACCGAUGGCGAAGGCAGCUUUCUGGACCGAUACUGACGCUGAGGCGCGAAGGCGUGGGUAGCGAACAGGAUUAGAUACCCUGGUAGUCCACGCAGUAAACGAUGUUCACUAGGUGUAGCGGAUAUUAAAAUCUGCUGUGCCGCAGCUAACGCAUUAAGUGAACCGCCUGGGAAGUACGGUCGCAAGACUA